UGGGACUACGCGGGUUUCUAAUCCUGUUUGCUCCCCUAGCUUUCGUGCCUCAGUGUCAGGAGUUGUCCAGGGACUCGCCUUCGCCACUGGUGUUCCACUUGAUAUCUACGCAUUUCACUGCUACACCAAGUAUUCCAGUCCCCCCUCCAACCCUCUAGCCGAAUAGUAUCCAAUGCCAUUUCCGAGUUGAGCUCGGAGAUUUCACAUCAGACUUACCCGACCACCUACGCACCCUUUACGCCCAGUGAAUCCGAACAACGCUCGGGACCUCUGUAUUACCGCGGCUGCUGACAC
rnacentral:misc_RNA from 1 species